CGGUGGAGCAUGUGGUUUAAUUCGAUGAUACGCGAGGAACCUUACCUGGGCUCGAACGUAAGAUGACUGUAGGUGAAAGCUUACAUCUCUUCGGAGCAUUUUACGAGGUGCUGCAUGGUUGUCGUCAGCUCGUGCCGUGAGGUGUCGGGUUAAGUCCCAUAACGAGCGCAACCCUACCUUUAGUUGCCAUCAGGUAAUGCUGGGGACUCUAAAGGAACUGCCUACGCAAGUAGUGAGGAAGGCGGGGAUGACGUCAAAUCAGCACGGCCCUUACGUCCAGGGCUACACACGUGCUACAAUGGCCGAUACAGAGGGCAGCUACCUGGUGACAGGAUGCAAAUCUCCAAAGUCGGUCUCAGUUCGGAUCGGAGUCUGCAACCCGACUCCGUGAAGCUGGAUUCGCUAGUAAUCGCGCAUCAGCCAUGGCGCGGUGAAUACGUUCCCGGGCCUU
rnacentral:rRNA from 1 species